UACAGAGGUCCCGAGCGUUGUUCGGAUUCACUGGGCGUAAAGGGCGCGUAGGCGGCUUGACAAGUCAAAGGUGAAAUCCCUCGGCUCAACUGAGGAACUGCCUUUGAAACUGUCUGGCUUGAGGCCGGGAGGGGGGUAGCGGAAUUCCCAGUGUAGCGGUGAAAAUGCGUAGAUAUUGGGAGGAACACCAGUGGCGAAGGCGGCUACCUGGACCGGUUCUGACGCUGAUGCGCGAAAAGCGUGGGUAGCAAACAGG
rnacentral:rRNA from 1 species